UUCAGCGAGAGCAGAGGAGCCGUAACACCGGCGAGCCAGAACACCCGAUUCUCCCUCUGCGGAUCCGUUGGACAAAGCGAAGGGUUUUCAUGCUCUUGAGACUGCACAGAAACAUCACAGCUUGGUGGAGGUAUGACAUUAACCAGGGGCUCCUUCACUUAUUCCAGAGGAGAAGAAUAUACCGGAGAAUGGAAGGAAGGUCGGAGGCACGGUAAAGGCGAGCUGAAGUUUGCUGAUGGCACCUGUUAUAAAGGUCAUUUUGAGAAUGGCCUGUUCCACGGAUCAGGGGUAUUAGUCUUUCCCGAUGGGUCCAGGUACGAGGGUGAAUUCGCCCAGGGAAAAUUCCAAGGGGUUGGAAUCUUCAGCAGGUUUGACGGGAUGAAAUUUGAAGGAGAAUUCAAAAGUGGCCGUGUAGAAGGAUAUGGGCUGCUGACAUUUCCAGAUGGUUCUCAUGGUGCUCCGCGAAAUGAGGGAGUGUUUGAGAACAACAAGCUUCUGAAACGUGAAAAGUGUCAGGCUGUGGUGCAGAGAGCCAAGAACUCAGCAUCCACUGCCCGCGGCCUCUCUGUAUGACAAACUGACCUCAGUGAGAGCACCCCUAACUGCGGCUUUCAGAUCAGGCAGUGUCACAAGUUAAGAAGUCAAAGCAGACUGUGGAUCUGCAUUCAGGGGUGAUCUCUGCCUUCACCAAACAACGGAGCUCAAAAAUAUGAGAGACCCAUCAGACCCUCAGGGAUGGAUGAAAGUGUUUCCAUUCCACACACCUCUGUUUCUCUCACAUUGUUGCUCUGCCUUGGUUUCCUCUGUGGCUUAAAAACAUCACAAAAUACUGUAUGUUAUGGAGGCAUGGAUAAACUCGAGUCACCAUCGGAGGCAUUGCAGGUACAGAAGCCUGGUCACGUGAAGAUAUUUUUGGGAAACCCUUCAUGACAGCAGGCCAAGAGAUCAGUUUGGGAACUGGAUGAGCCAGGCCAUGGAUUACAUCUUUAAUACAGCAGCAAAACACACACCGAGUAACUACAAAGAGAAGAGCUGGAUUGUUGAUUCAUAAACAACCUUAUAUCGGGGCAAAUGUUUGCUUUCAGGCUGGCGGAUUGUGAUUAUGUAAUAAGCACAGAUGACGUAUGUCUCACACAUGGGCAUAUCAGUGUCCUCCACCCAAAGCCUUGUCAUCUGAUGCAUCAGGAAACUAUGCACAGCAAUGAGCCUGUCCUGGCACAGUAAGCCAUAGACAAAACUAUAGCAUGUUAAAUGUGUUUCAAAUGAAAGAUAUGUUAUGCAGAAGUCAAAUAGACUAAAUGUUGUGCAUGCAUUUCUCAUUUCAGAAAGACAAGCUAGUCAAAAUGCUUUCUGCUGAUUGGUCAGCCGAAGAU